rnacentral:lncRNA from 1 species
UUUUGGUACUUCAAAAGGUGUGUUCUCAUUUCGCCUUAGCUGUGAAUUCCAGGUAAAAAAGGUAAAAAAUAUACUAAGGCCAGAUGGGAAUUAAACUAAGGCGAAAUGUGAAUUUAGAUAAAAAUAUUAAAUAAACAAAUUAAACCUCUGUGUUUUUAUAGCAAUUUUAACAACAUUGAAUUAGGGAUUUUUUUCUCUUUAAUUAUUAUUUUUAAUAAAAGUGACAAUUUUGUGACAAUUUAUAUGAUUUUAACAGGAAAAAAAAUCCACAAUAAAACAUGAGUCCGUAGGAAAGUUGCUUCUUUUAUGCUUAAUUUAAUAU